rnacentral:misc_RNA from 1 species
GAUGAAGAACGUAGCGAAAUGCGAUAAGUAAUGCGAAUUGCAGAAUCCGUGAGUCAUCGAAUCUUUGAACGCAUAUUGCGCCCCUUGGUAUUCCGAGGGGCAUGCCUGUUCGAGCGUCAUUAUAACCCCUCAAGCUCAGCUUGGUGUUGGGGCCUGCUGCACUGGCAGCCCUUAAAAUCAGUGGCGGCGCCAUCUGGCUCUAAGCGUAGUAAUUCUUCUCGCUAUGGAGUCCUGGUGGAUGCUUGCCAUCAACCCCCAAUUUUUCUAUGGUUGACCUCGGAUCAGGUAGGGAUACCCGCUGAACUUAAGCAUAUCAAUAAGCGGAGGA